rnacentral:rRNA from 1 species
AGGAUGAACGCUGGCGGCGUGCUUAACACAUGCAAGUCGAGCGAAGCGCUUUGGAAAGAUUCUUCGGAUGAUUUCCUUUGUGACUGAGCGGCGGACGGGUGAGUAACGCGUGGGUAACCUGCCUCAUACAGGGGGAUAACAGUUAGAAAUGACUGCUAAUACCGCAUAAGACCACGGUACCGCAUGGUACAGUGGUAAAAACUCCGGUGGUAUGAGAUGGACCCGCGUCUGAUUAGGUAGUUGGUGGGGUAACGGCCUACCAAGCCGACGAUCAGUAGCCGACCUGAGAGGGUGACCGGCCACAUUGGGACUGAGACACGGCCCAGACUCCUACGGGAGGCAGCAGUGGGGAAUAUUGCACAAUGGAGGAAACUCUGAUGCAGCGACGCCGCGUGAAGGAUGAAGUAUUUCGGUAUGUAAACUUCUAUCAGCAGGGAAGAAAAUGACGGUACCUGACUAAGAAGCCCCGGCUAACUACGUGCCAGCAGCCGCGGUAAUACGUAGGGGCAAGCGUUAUCCG